UUUCACUUUUUCACACUUUCCUUUACUAUGAAUAAUAUGAGGAAGUAAUCAAUUUAGCACACUUCACCUUAUGAAGACAAACCUCAUAAAAAUAAAUUCACCAAAAUUCACCCCCUGCCCAAUCACUCUUAAAUUGGGCAUGGGUGGUAGCCUCCACCCAUUAGACACUAUCUACCAGCCCACCCCACUCCUUUGGGGCAGAUCCACUUUCUGCCCCCAAUCUGCCCCAAAGACACCCAAACUUCAAAAAUUCUCAAAAAAUCAGCCCUCUGCCCAAUCCCCCUGAAAUUGGGGUGGUAGCCUCCACCCAUUAGGCACUACCACCCCACCCCACUCUUUUGGGGCAGAUCCACUUUCUGCCCCCAAACUGCCCCAAAGUCACUAAAACUUCAAAAAUUCUAAAAAAAUCACCCCUUUGUCCAAACCCCCUGAAAUUGGGGUGGUAGCCUCCACCCAUUAGGCACUACCAGCCCACCCCACUAUUCUGCCCCAGGCCCCACUUUCUGCCCCAAUAUGCCCCAAAGACAUGAAAAUUUCAGAAAUUUACCAAAAAUCAGCCAUUUGCCCAAUCCCCCUGAAAUUGGGGUGGUAGCCUGCACCCAUUAGGCACUACCACCCCACCCCACUCCUUUUGCCCAGAUCCCAUGCUAUGCCCCCGAACUGCCUCAAAGUCACUAAAGCUUUAAAAAUUCACCAAAAAUCAGGACUUUGCCCAAUCCCCCUGAAAUUGGGGUGGUAGACUCUACCCAUUGGGCACUACCACCCCACCCCACAAUUUUGCCCCUGGGCCCCUUUUUACCCCCCUGAAUCGAUUCAGAUUUGGAUUCGGAUUAAAUCCGAAUCCGAACCGAAUCAAGGGUGAUUCGGGUGACCCAGAUUCGGGCACAAAACAGAACAGGGGUGAUUUGGUUCAGGUCCGAGCCAAAUCACCCAAAAACCCAAAUUGCACACCCCUACUGGAGAGUAGCAAAUGUAACACCAAUUUUCAAAAAGGGAUCCAGGGGCGAUCCAGGAAAUUACAGGCCAGUUAGCCUAAUAUCCGUUCCAGGCAAAUUGAUGGCAAAUUGAUGGAAAGCAUCCUCAAGGAGAAAAUUGUAAAGCACCUAGAAGAACAGGCCCUGCUCGGAGUGAGCCAGCAUGGCUUCCGCAAAGACCAGUUGGCCAGAGAUAAUCUUGGCACAGCAGAGGAGCAUGUGUGAACUUGGAGACAAAUGGAAAAUGGACAAGGUUGAUGGGAGCAACCUUCAACAUGGGAACCUGGUUGAUCCUGUCAUCUGCAUUGGCUAUGCAGGAAGGAAAGGUUUCAACAUCAAUCGGAUGACUUGCUGGUGAAAUUUUUACUUGAAGAUAAUGCACUCUGCAUCUCUCAUGUUGCAGCAAAGUUUUGUUACAUCGCAAUUAGAAUUCGUAGUUCAUUGAUUGAUGCUAAAGUUAAUGAUUAAGUUAAUGUUGAAUGCUGGAAUAAUGUUUAUUGUUUGUGUUGUUGUUUUGUUUUGGCCAUUGGCCAUAAAUAAAGUAUCUUCUU